UACGUAGGGUGCGAGCGUUAAUCGGAAUUACUGGGCGUAAAGUGUGCGCAGGCGGCCGAGCAAGUCGAGUGUGAAAGCCCCGAGCUUAACUUGGGAACUGCGCUCGAAACUACUUGGCUAGAGUGUGGCAGAGGGAGGUGGAAUUCCACGUGUAGCGGUGAAAUGCGUAGAGAUGUGUAGGAACACCGAUGGCGAAGGCAGCCUCCUGGGCCAACACUGACGCUCAUGCACGAAAGCGUGGGGAGCAAACAGG
rnacentral:rRNA from 1 species